rnacentral:rRNA from 1 species
UACGAAGGGGGCUAGCGUUGUUCGGAAUCACUGGGCGUAAAGCGCACGCAGGCGGAUUGAUAAGUCAGGGGUGAAAUCCCGGAGCUCAACUUCGGAAUUGCCUUUGAUACUGUCUAUCUUCGAGUUCGGGAGAGGUUGGCGGAAUUCCUAGUGUAGAGGUGAAAUUCGUAGAUAUUAGGAAGAACACCAGUGGCGAAGGCGGCCAACUGGCCCGAUACUGACGCUCAUGUGCGAAAGCGUGGGGAAGCAAACAGGGAUUAGA